CUCAGUGGGAGAGGCCAGACUGUGUCUUCCACUGCGUCUGGCCCACUGAGCAGAGUGUCGUGUUCUGGUUUUAACUCAAACAAGUCACCUACUAUCUUAGGCAGUUUUGACAUCGCCUUUAUCUUCUUUUUCAUGCUUUUCCAGCAAGACUUGAAAUCAGUAAGAUAAAAAUGAACAAUACAACAGAAAAUUAAGCAACGGUAAUAAGAGGAAAUGCCUGAGGUGUGGUCUAAAGUGGCUCUAUUAACAGCAAAGCUGAUCUGCUGGGUAAGCUCCCAUUCCUCCCCCCUGCCUUUUAAAAGAAGCAAUUGUAAAUGGAUGAUUUUUCUCACCAUACCUACACCACACUUCAAAGGGAUCUACCCAUACGGUCAUCUCCUUUGGAAGUCCCAGGUAGGUACUGCCCUCCUUCGUACUCAGUUGGGACAGCACUGGAUCCACCUCUCCUGCUUCCUUCUGCAGAUCUGCAUGAGCUGGACGUUUGGACAAAAACAUGCAGAAACACCAUCAGAUGAAGUUGGUGAUGGGGUUUCUAUGGAUGGCAAAACCACUGGGUAGAAGUCUGGAUUCACUAUGUAUAGAAGAGCUGCCUGCCAACUAGGAAAACCUAUUUUAGAUUCUUAAGGAACAAGAAAUAAAAUCUUGUUGUGUCUGAGACAUUAUCUAUUUGGUGUCUAUUUGUUACAGUUUAGCUUGUCCUAUUUAAUAUAUUCUUGAAAAUGUGAAUCACAUUCAGAAGUACCAGAUACAACUAAAGGGGCCAGUACCAGUCCUAAACAAAGUAAGUGAAUGACUACUUACCAAAUAAUGAGAUAUCCAGCCUCCUUCCCUCCUCAGUCACAGAAAACUUGCAGUAAGGCUUAUAACUCACAGGUGGGAAUCUGGAAGUUUCCUCACAGGGUAACUGACUAGGCUUAAGAGAAAUUACUUAUGGAUGAUAAUAAAUGGGUUUUUUUUCCCCUCAGUGAAAUAAAAGAAAACCCUACAGUGAAACUAUGUGACAGGCCACACCCAUACUCAAAGAGCUUUCAAAAAAAUUUAUUUUUGUUUCACUGCAAAUGCAAAAAUAGUUGGGGAAAAACACUAGUACCAUGGCAGAAAACAAAUCAAAUGAUAAAAACACAACAAAACUUGAAACAAUUCAAGAAGAAGCCCACAACAAUAACUAAAAAAUAAACUACUGUGAUUAAUGUCCUCCGAGAUAAAAAUUAUGAACCCAGGAAACAAAAAGAGAAUAUUAUUUCUGAUUUUUAAAAAAGGGGAGGGGAAGAGAAAUAAAUAUUGCUUUGUUUUGUCUUACUUGGUUAAAAAGGAAUGUCCAUCACCCAGAAAACCUUAAUCACUCCCUCUGGAAUUACAAUUUUAAAAAAGACUCCCUCCUCUGAGCAGAUAAUUUGAGUCCUUGAAGAAGACACAACCAACCAACCACUGGUGGUAUCCCUGUAAAAAUUUCCUAUUCUUGAUAUGCAGUACUAUUUCAACGUGUGCAAUAAUGUAACUAUUGGGGGCACUUGGGUGGCUCAGGUCAUGAUCUCAGGGUCCUGGGAUCCAAUCCCAAGGUGGGCUCCCUGUUCACUGGGGAGCCUAUUUCUCCCUCUCCCUCUGCUGCUUCCCUUGC